UGGUUUAAUUCGAUGAUACGCGUAGGAACCUUACCUGGGCUCAAAUAGUAUGUUGACGUAUUCUGAAAGGGAUACGUUCUUCGGACAAUAUACAAGGUGCUGCAUGGUUGUCGUCAGCUCGUGUCGUGAGAUGUUGGGUUAAGUCCCGUAACGAGCGCAACCCUUGUCCUUAGUUACCAGCACGUUAUGGUGGGCACUCUAAGGAGACUGCCGGUGACAAACCGGAGGAAGGUGGGGAUGACGUCAAGUCAUCAUGGCCCUUACGGCCUGGGCUACACACGUGCUACAAUGGUCGGUACAAAGGGUUGCCAAGCCGCGAGGUGGAGCUAAUCCCAUAAAACCGAUCGUAGUCCGGAUCGCAGUCUGCAACUCGACUGCGUGAAGUCGGAAUCGCUAGUAAUCGUGAAUCAGAAUGUCACGGUGAAUACGUUCCCGGGCCUU
rnacentral:rRNA from 1 species